rnacentral:rRNA from 1 species
UCUGGUGGUUUUAGCGAGGAGGAAACACCCGUUCCCAUUCCGAACACGGCAGUUAAGCUCCUCAGCGCUGAUGAUAGUCCGAAUGGGCGAAAGUAAGUCGCUGCCAGUU